UGUCUUUCCUUCUACUGCAUACUGAGCUCCUGAAGGCACUGGGGCUUGCUCCCAUUUGUACCCUGGAGCACACAGUAGGUGCUUACUAAGUGACUGUGGAACAGAACCGCUAAUAUUUUUGAAACACAGAUUUGGAAACAUCCUCCCAGAAAACAAACUACAACAAAUCACUUCCCUGGUAUGAAGGAAUGAAGUUUUUUGUUUCUUUCAUAGUCCUAAAAAAAAAAUCCCCCAAGAGCUCACCAGCAUGAAGGCACUAGCUCUGACCAUGAUAUGGAGGAACAAUGAUUUGAAGACGUUUGAAAGGCAAGCAACUUGACACAGGGCAUCUUUCUAGAUCAUCGUUUGGAAGAGAACCAUCAGGACGAGCCCAGGGGUCCUGUGAAACGCUGUUGGCCUGGGCGAGGAGGGAACUGGUGCUCGUCACUGGCCCUCUUCAGAAACAAUCCGCUCCGUCCAAGUGCAAUAUGAGUAUUUCCAGCUGACCAUGGGGAAACUUGUUUUCUAGUUUAUCCCAGCAACAUUAUCAAGAAAAUGGUCAAUGGAGUCAACAAAUGCAAACCUCUGGAAAACAUUUCAGAGACUGGCUUGUUGCUACAACAAGAACAGUGAUAUCAUAAUCACCAUUGUGGAGCGGAUGCCAGGUAGCACUGCCAACCUCUUCAGAAUAAUUGACAUUUUUCUAACAUGCAGAGUGGCCAUAACAACCACUUCAGCUACACAAUAGCCUCCACCGUAACACUUCCUUAGCAACCUGCUUAACACCGAGACUUUGAAAUCAUCCGCUAUUUUGGCAGCAGGAUGAAUAUUUGCCGGUCGUGAACUUUUCAAAGGUCAUCAGCUGGAAACAAGCCGGCCCACUUCCUUUGCCCACCCUGCCACUACCUGUCGUACCCAUCCAUCAUAGGACAUAAUGCUUAAGCACUUGAGGAAAAGAUAAUGCACCGCUUACAUUUUCCUAAUGGAACAAGAAAUUUUAUUUUGGGGAUGUUGGGGGAAAAAAGUCGUAGUGUUACUGACCCAUGUUUUAUUAACCUGUCUCCAAUUAACAGAAAGGAUGACACUAAUUGAAAACAAACCAUUUUGCUUAAGCAAUUAAUCUUUUGUGGUUUAUCUUUUAAAGCC
rnacentral:antisense_RNA from 1 species